AUUGAACGCUGGCGGCAUGCCUAACACAUGCAAGUCGAACGGACCUUCGGGUUAGUGGCCAACGGGUGAGUAACACGUGGCUGAUCUGCCCUGCACUUUGGGAUAAGCCUGGGAAACUGGGUCUAAUACCGAAUAGGACCACGCGCUGCAUGGUGUGUGGUGGAAAGCGUUUGCGGGGGGGGAUGGGCCCGCGGCCUAUCAGCUUGUUGGUGGGGUAUUGGCCUACCAAGGAGACGACGGGUAGCCGGCCUGAGAGGGUGACCGGGCACACUGGGACUGGGAUACGGCCCAGACUCCUACGGGAGGCAGCAGUGGGGAAUAUUGCACAAUGGGCGCAAGGCUGAUGCAGCGACGCCGCGUGGGGGAUGACGGCCUUCGGGUUGUAAACCUCUUUCGCCAGGGACGAAGCGCAAGUGACGGUACCAGGAGAAGAAGGACCGGCCAACUACGUGCCAGCCGCCGCGGUAAGAC
rnacentral:rRNA from 1 species